rnacentral:sRNA from 1 species
UCCUCGAGGUAGGGCCCGAUCAGCCGACGG